CCAGCAUCCUUCCAAGGAGGUCUACAGCUACAGGAAUGAGGGUUAACACCACAUCCGGUCCUGGAUCUGAAGCCCAACCCAUACCCAGCUGGAGGAGUUUUGUCAGCACUGAUGGGUUUGUACUCCACUCUUGCCCUUACCUGGAGAUGUCCUCCUGACUCACCUACUUCUCCCUGAAGGGUUGGGUUUCUAGUACAAGCUCUGUCCUGCUCUGUCCAUGUCCCCCACCGGAUGCCCAUCUAUCUGCAUACCACCCCCUCCCCAACAUGACUGGGUGCUUGGUCAGAAGAACAAACAGAUGGACGGAUGGCCACUAACUUACAUGCUCCGAGGAUAUCUUUGCCAGAACCUCAGGGCUGGGUGUGCCCACCACCUCCAUGAUUCGCUUCAGCUGGUCGAUGUCUACCUAGCUCAGGAAACACCUGGUGGCCAGUCUGUCCAGCCCCAGCCCCUGGUACACUGGGGAACUCUGGCUUAGGACAGGGAGCCCCACGUGACAUGGCAUAAGAAGUAAGACUUUGGAAAAGGGCUGGUGACCACCCCUACCGACCCUGUAGAAUGGGACCCCAGCUUGACCCUGCUCCCCAAGGAUACAGUCAUUGCCUGGAAAGAGGGCCUUUCCUUGGAGAAGCUCAGCCAUGAUGCAGCCCACGGACCAGAUGUCCACUGUUGGGGGAGAAUAAGGAGACUCUAUCAGUCUGCCACCCCAAAUUCUUCCUGUGGAGCUGGGGAGAAGCCUGCCCAGUGACCCUCAGUCAUAUCCAGAACCAAAGAGACCAGCGGAGUUCUAUCCCCUACCCUGAGAAGAGGACAAGGCCACUGUGGAGGGUCCACAGCACCUGUCUGGUUGUAGUGCAUCCAGUUCAGCAUGAUCUCUGGCGCCCGGUACCAACGUGUGGCCACGUAUCCAGUCAUCUCCUCAUCGGCCUGGCGCGCGAGCCCGAAGUCCAGGAUCUGGAGGACCACAGGCAUUAUCUGCACCUACCCGGUGGAUGAUGCCUGCCGAGUGGAUAUACUGCAGGGGAGGGCAGACCGGGUGAGCCCAGGCUCCACCCCGUUCUGCCCCAACCCAACGCGGUCGAGGGAACGAACCCCAGAGCCCACGCGCCCCACCUUCAGCCCACG